rnacentral:snRNA from 1 species
GUUCUCUCUGGAGAAACAUAUAUAAGAAUUGGAACGAUACAGAGAAGAUUAGCAUGGCCCCUGCGCAAGG